rnacentral:rRNA from 1 species
UACGAAGGGUGCAAGCGUUACUCGGAAUUACUGGGCGUAAAGCGUGCGUAGGCGGUUUGUUAAGUCCGUUGUGAAAGCCCUGGGCUCAACCUGGGAAUUGCAGUGGAUACUGGCGAGCUAGAGUGCGGUAGAGGAUGGUGGAAUUCCCGGUGUAGCGGUGAAAUGCGUAGAGAUCGGGAGGAACACCAGUGGCGAAGGCGGCCAUCUGGACCAGCACUGACGCUGAGGCACGAAAGCGUGGGGAGCAAACAGG